GAUGAACGCUGGCGGCGUGCCUAAUACAUGCAAGUCGAGCGAACGGACGAGAAGCUUGCUUCUCUGAUGUUAGCGGCGGACGGGUGAGUAACACGUGGAUAACCUACCUAUAAGACUAGGAUAACUUCGGGAAACCGUAGCUAAUACCGGAUAAUAUGUUGAACCGCAUGGUUCAAAAGUGAAAGACGGUCUUGCUGUCACUUAUAGAUGGAUCCGCGCUGCAUUAGCUAGUUGGUAAGGUAACGGCUUACCAAGGCAACGAUGCAUAGCCGACCUGAGAGGCUGAUCGGCCACCCGGGAACUGAGCCACGGUCCAGACUACUAAGGGAGGCAGCAGUAGGGAAUCUUCCGCAAUGGGCGAAAGCCUGACGGAGCAACGCCGAGUGAGUGAUGAAGGUCUUCGGAUCGUAAAGCUCUGUUAUUAGGGAAGAACAUAUGUGUAAGUAACUGUGCACAUCUUGACGGUACCUACUCAGAAAGCCACGGCUAACUACGUG
rnacentral:rRNA from 1 species